CACCCAUCUUUUCGUCUAUGCCUCAUUGGAUGCACUUCCAUUGUAUGUAAUGUUAGAUAUACACAAUCAUAGAUACAUAUAUGAUCUUCCACCUCGGCUCCUAUACUGAUAAGAUUUGUGUUGAUACAUGAUUCUCAACAAAGUGUGCUACCAAACUUUUUCACGAAAAGUGUAGUACCAGUUGGUGUGAUAUCAUGUCCUCAGCAACGCCCCCGAUGGAUCGACCAUGACCAUGUUGUUGCCUGGAAUCUUUUUUCAUGAUGAUGUCGCUAUUCGUCAUCCCACAGUUUAUGCGGUGGAGCGUCAACGACCUCAGCGUGUUGCAGGAGAAGACCAUGAAUAUCGGCAAGAAAGAUGUUGAUCAAGGAAGGUGCAACACUGUGAUGUGAGUUGAACACAAGCAUGGCCUACAAUCUCGACGCCCACCAUCCAUGUGCCUUGCAAGCAGCAAUUGUUCACAUCCUUGAUAUUUGUCACUGCCCUCUUCUCAUCUAUCCCGACAGUCUCGGUGUCCAGGCAAGGUAUGUCUAUGUCAGUUGAACUGUCACUCGAGUUACAACAAUUCCAAUCUUUUUUCUAUAUCUGCAAUUGGGUGGACUAUGGUAUGAAUCAGUUUAUAAGCAACCAUGGUGUACAUGAAUCUCUGUUGGUGUGAACUGUCAAAAGCAUUUCCUACUAUUUCUACC